rnacentral:rRNA from 1 species
CAGCCGCCGCGGUAAGACAGAGGAUGCAAGCGUUAUCCGGAAUGAUUGGGCGUAAAGCGUCUGUAGGUGGCUUUUCAAGUCCGCCGUCAAAUCCCAGGGCUCAACCCUGGACAGGCGGUGGAAACUACCAAGCUGGAGUACGGUAGGGGCAGAGGGAAUUUCCAGUGGAGCGGUGAAAUGCGUUGAGAUCGAAAAGAACACCAACAGCGAAAGCACUCUGCUGGGACGACACUGACACUAAGAGACGAAAGCUAGGGGAGCAAAUGGGAUUAGAGACCCCGGUAGUCCCUGUCUCUUAUAC